GCCUGGGUGGCUCAGUCGGUUAAGCGUCUGACUUCAGCUCAGGUCAUGAUCUCAUGGUUCGUGGGUUCGAGCCCAGCGUCAGGCU
rnacentral:tRNA from 1 species